CCUAGCACCAACAAGGAACUGACGUCAAUGGCGAGAAUAAACCCCACACGGCCACACCCCACCACUCUGCCAAACCGGCAUCAAUGGCGAGAACCAACGCGGCAGUUUCCUCGCUCCUUCCCUUGCUCCUCUCCACCCUCCUCCCAGCUCAACUCACCAUAUACAUAUAGACGAUCCCUCCGCCACCGCACCGGCCGGCCGGGAAGAGAGGACAGCCAGAUCGAGGAGCCAGGCUAGGCAUUGCCCCCAUCCGACAAACCGCGCGCUGAAGGAGCCGGUUAAGCUAGCCAGGGGGGCGACCAUGAGAGGCAAGGCGCUGCUGCUGGUGCUGCUCUGCCUGGCCGCGCAGUUCCAGGCUGCGUGCUGCCUCACCGGAGGGGGCACUGGCACUCGAGGUUUCGGAGGAGGAGGCUCGCGCGGAGGGCCGCUGCAGGUUUCGGAAAAGGUGGCGGCCGGGGCGUCGGGAGGAGGGGCGGCUCCGGCUAGCGCGUGCGAUGACGACCACGACGACGACAACCACCACCGCUGCCGUCGCCGCCGCGGAAGCCGUCGCCACCAUGACGACCACUCGGGCGGGAACUGCAGCGCCGCGGCGGAACCGCGUGGUCGUGGCGUCUAGAGGGUUUCCGGUGCCGCCGCUGCCCUCGUUUGGUGGCGCUGAGCGACGACCGCAUGCAGCCCUCGUUUAGUAGAAAGUGGUACGUACUCUGGUAGAUCGUCGAUCACUCAGUUCAUAGUUGACGGGUGGAUUGGUGGCUUAGUCUUGCUAUAAUUGCUAGCUAGUUGAUCUGUGUGUGGAUGCAUGUGUAAUUAGUAUCAGGAACUCGGCGUUGAUCUGUGAGCGCGCACCGCGCAGUGGUGCCUGUUAGUUUGUUAACUGAUGGAGAAAAUAUAUUGCUCCAAUCUUUAAUUCUUCAUUCAGGUGGAGUUUAUAUUCGAUCGAACCCGUAAUCAGUCUAAUUAUUUUAUGACUUCAUAAAACACGGC
rnacentral:lncRNA from 1 species